rnacentral:rRNA from 1 species
UACAGGGGGGGCAAGCGUUGUUCGGAAUUACUGGGCGUAAAGGGCUCGUAAGUGGCCAACUAAGUCAGACGUGAAAUCCCUCAGCUUAACUGGGGAACUGCGUCUGAUACUGGAUGGCUUGAGUUUGGGAGGAGGAGUAGUCCGGAAGUUCCGAGGUGUAGGCGGUAGAAAUGCGUAGAUAUCUGGAGGAACACCGGUGGCGAAGGCGGCAUCCUGGACCAACACUGACACUGAGGAGCGAAAGCCAGGGGAGCAAACGGG